AUACAGGGGGUGCGAGCGUUAAUCGGAAUUACUGGGCGUAAAGAGUACGUAGGCGGUUGCUUAAGUCAGAUGUGAAAGCCCCGGGCUCAACCUGGGAACUGCAUUUGAAACUGAGUGACUAGAGUUUAAGAGAGGGGAGUAGAAUUCCGGGUGUAGCGGUGAAAUGCGUAGAGAUCCGGAGGAAUACCAGUGGCGAAGGCGGCUCCCUGGCUUAAAACUGACGCUGAGGCCCGAAAGCGUGGGGAGCAAACAGGAUUAGAAACCCUAGUAGUCC
rnacentral:rRNA from 1 species